rnacentral:rRNA from 1 species
UGCAUAGCAGUCAGACAGCGUGAGAUAAGUUUCGUUGUCAAAAGGGAAACAGCCCAGACCCACAGCUAAGGUCCCAAAUUCAUGCUAAGUGGAAAACGAUGUGGAAUUGCGAAAACAACCAGGAUGUUGGCUUAGAAGCAGCCACUCAUUAAAAGAGUGCGUAAUAGCUCACUGGUCGAGUGACUCUGCGCGGAAAAUAUAACGGGGCUAAGCAUGAAACCGAAGCUUGGGCUUGUCGUAAGACAGGGGUAGGGGAGCGUCGAGUAUGGGGUGAAGUCAGAGCGGAAGCACUGGUGGACUGUACUCGAGUGAGAAUGCCGGAAUGAGUAGCGAGAAUUAUGUGGGAAUCAUAAUGGCCGAAAAUCUAAGGUUUCUUGGGGAAGGUUCGUCCGCCCAAGGUAAGUCGGGAGCUAAGCUCAGGCCGAGAGGCGUAGGCGAUGCACAUACGGUAGAAAUUCCGUAACCACCGAAACUUAAACAGAGGGACACUUCAGGAUAGCGGAACCCGGGCGUUGGUUGACCCGGGCGAAAGGGAGCGAAAUUAGAGUAGCGAAGUCCGCGAUGCCUGGAGGCGAGAAAAGCUCUGAGGUAUGCUAAGGUGCCCGUACCGCAAACCGACACAGGUAGAUGAGGAGAGAAUCCUAAGGCCAACGGGAGAAGGGUUGUUAAGGAACUCGGCAAAUUGACCCCGUAACUUCGGAAGAAGGGGAGCCCCCUACGGGGGGUCGCAGAGAAAUGGCCCAAGCAACUGUUUACCAAAAACACAGGUCUAUGCUAAAUCGAAAGAUGACGUAUAUGGGCUGACGCCUGCCCGGUGCCGGAAGGUUAAGAGGAGAUGUCAGGCAACGAAGCAUUGAAUUUAAGCCCCGGUAAACGGCGGCCGUAACUAUAACGGUCCUAAGGUAGCGAAAUUCCUUGUCAGGUAAGUUCUGACCCGCACGAAUGGCGUAAUGAUUUGGGCACUGUCUCAACAGCCCGCCCGGCGAAAUUGUAGUACUGGUGAAGAUGCCAGUUACCCGCAACUAGACGGAAAGACCCCAUGGAGCUUUACUGCAGCUUAAUACUGAAAUUCGGUAGUACAUGUACAGGAUAGGUGGGAGACUGAGAAAUACAGGCGUCAGCUUGUAUGGAGUCGCUGUUGGGAUACCACUCUUGUACUGCUGGGUUUCUAACCUGCGGCCGUGAAUCCGGUCGGGGGACACUGUUAGGCGGGCAGUUUGACUGGGGCGGUCGCCUCCCAAAAGGUAACGGAGGCGCUCAAAGGUUCGUUCAGCACGGACGGAAAUCGUGCAAUGAGUGUAAACGCAUAAACGAGCCUAACUGCGACACCGACGGGUGGAGCAGUAACGAAAGUUGGAGUUAGUGAUCCGGUGGUAUGUGAGUGGAAAUGCCAUCGCUCAACGGAUAAAAGCUACCCUGGGGAUAACAGGCUGAUCUCCCCCAAGCGUCCACAGCGACGGGGAGGUUUGGCACCUCGAUGUCGGCUCGUCGCAUCCUGGGGCUGAAUUCGGUCCCAAGGGUUUGGCUGUUCGCCAAUUAAAGCGGCACGCGAGCUGGGUUCAGAACGUCGUGAGACAGUUCGGUCCCUAUCUGUUGCGGGCGUAAGAGAUUUGAAGGGAGCUGUCCUUAGUACGAGAGGACCGGGAUGGACGUACCUCUGGUGCACCAGUUGU